rnacentral:rRNA from 1 species
GUGGGGAAUAUUGGGCAAUGGGCGCAAGCCUGACCCAGCAACGCCGCGUGAGGGAAGAAGGCUUUCGGGUUGUAAACCUCUGUCCUUGGUGACGAAACAAAUGACGGUAGCCAAGGAGGAAGCCCCGGCUAACUACGUGCCAGCAGCCGCGGUAAUACGUAGGGGGCGAGCGUUGUCCGGAAUUACUGGGCGUAAAGGGUGCGUAGGUGGCCUUUUAAGUUGGAUGUGAAAUACCCGGGCUUAACUUGGGGGGUGCAUCUAAUACUGGGAGGCUAGAGUGCAGGAGAGGGAAGCGGAAUUCCUAGUGUAGCGGUGAAAUGCGUAGAUAUUAGGAGGAACACCAGUGGCGAAGGCGGCUUUCUGGACUGUAACUGACACUGAGGCACGAAAGCGUGGGGAGCAAACAGGAUUAGAUACCCUGGUAGUCC